GGGUGUGGAUAAGGGUCAUAGUGUGUUCCAGCAGCGUGUCUGCAGGUUCCUCUCUCAGACCUCCCUCAGAGCCAUCACCCAUUGGCUGCCGCAGCUCAGGAGCCUAUUAGACCAACAGGCCUAUCCCCCAACCGUCCACAUACCUGCCUCCUGCCUGGACAGCUUUAUCUCUGUCAACUCAGACAAAAUGGCUGUGAAGAGGACCUUCGGUCUGAACCCAGGCUUCUACUGGCAGACUGUGGAGACUCAGGAACUCAGCUGUCAGAGGCCUGAGACCAUGUGCACUCAGCUGCUACACACUUAGAUAGCUGUUGCUCUGGGAUACACUUCUUUGUUCCUGCAUCCCCUGGUGGUUCACCACACCCUCCACCUUCUCCACAACUCAGGGUUGGGUGUUUGUGGCCUCCGCCUCCUUUACCCUCCUCUUGGCUUUCUGACCAACAGCGCCGGCAGAGUAUCCUACGGGCAGGGAGAUGAUGGAGCCGAUCAGCCUGUCCUUGCCCUGGCUGUCCGAGGGCCUCACGCCCGCACCGUGUGGCAGGAUGUAACAGGCCCUUCAGACCCCCUGCUGGCUAGGAAGACAGACCCGGCAUCCAUCAACGCCCUGCACUACAGCAGCAAGAACUUGCCCCUCCUCUACUCCCCUCGCCUGGCCAGCAGUGUGCACAGGGAACUGGUCACGUGGUUCGCAGGGAGAGUUCCAGGAAAUAAUUCCCAGAACCCUGACCAGGCGCCACUGACAGCUCUGCCCCUGGCGAUGGAGAGGGAAGCAGCCCCUUGUAUUUAACCAGGUCCUCUACCACCCUGUGUGCUACUGUUAAAGUGGACGUGUUCUUGAUAGUGUCUCCAGCUGUGGCGCCAUGCUGCUACAGCCAGGUACUGUCUGUGUGUGAAGGCAGAGGGUUCAGUCUGAGGGGGGCCCAGAGGCUGCAGCUCUCCACCAAACYAACCCAGGCACUGGGACUCACCAGACAGCAGGUGUCAGUGUUCUGCAGUCCGCCCACUGUUACUGUGGAUGAGAAGAGGGUUGCGCUGUCUUCCCACUGCCUGGUCUUACUUCUGAGGAGAGAGAGUGSCCUGCGUCACUGUGCCAGCCUGCCUCCCUUGUGAAAGAGUUGGAGACACAGAGGUUGUUGGGAUGUAUCCACAUCAGACUGUCAGAUGAAGGAAAGCUGGACCCGAGCAGCUGCUUUCACAUGUUGCCCUACAGAGAGAGCCUGCUCCAUAGCUUUGGUGGGCGUAUGUGGGCCGUACCCAACCCCUGCAAUGUAGUGCUGUCCAUUCACAGGUGUCCAUCCAACCCAGAGCUGGAGCAGGUGGUGGUGCUUACGCUGGCUGGAAGGGACAUCAGUCAGGGCCUGAGCCUGCUACACAGGCUCUGGACAGGAGACACAACAGAUACUUUACCCCACAUUAACCAUUCCUACAACACAGCCCAUGCGAUGUCGGGGAGGAUGGAUUCGAGCUACUGGCCAUGAAGUGGCUGCCCACAUUGUCCCGGCAGCAGGCGCGGGAGGUGAGCCCCUAUGAGAGGUAGGUGACCGGCUGUGGCAGAGCAGCCUGGUGGGCUUGGCCUCCUCCCCUGCCCUGGUGUGUGCCCUGAGGAGGGUGGACGCCUUCGCCACCCUACGGCGGCUCCUGCCACGGGACUACCCCGGGAACCUGAACAUACUGUUGUCUCCCACUCCUGAACUGGCCUUCAGACAAGCAUCCCUCUUCUUCUCCCUGGGAGACAUGAUCCCUGGUAAAAACUAGUCAGUGCAAGCUAGGUACUAUUUCACUACUACCCUAUAUCUGGGGUAAUCAUGUCAAGGARAGCUGGGUCUAUGUGGAUUUUCUCUCAUCUUCAGAUCACAGUGUGCGCCCAUUACUGAAGUUCCUACCCCCACCACACAUUAAUGUAGCUGGUAUGUGUCACCGGGUCAUCAGCAUAUUCAAACAACUCUCUCACCCACCUCCCUUCUGACUUGUGUUUAAUGUUCAUUGUUAAACUGCAUGGUGCAGGGUGAGUUUAUUUGGAUGAACUUUGACCUUUUAAAUAACAUGAUGUAAUGUAGGAUGUUUUAUUAAACAUUGGUUACUUGCAAAGUUGAUUACUUCUACAAUGGUUACAAAAAUGUACAAAAGUUGAAAAUAUUUAAGCACCCUAUUUGCCACUCUUGUCUGUUUCCAUCAGGUCCCCAGCCGCUGGUCAAACUGUUCCUGUUCAAGCCUGGAGUGUGGCGCCAUGCUCUGGGGAAAAUCCUCAGCAAAGUCCAGCGGAGUGGCUUCACUGUGGUGGACCUGCAUGUGCUGGUUCUGGACAAUAGCACAGCUGUGUCAUAUUGUUUUAAAUGCAUUGGCUCASUUUUCCUCUUGUGUUUUCCUCUAGGACCKCUCUGCUGUAGAAGCUCAUGUUCAGUACUUGAGCUCUGGGCCUUCCCUGGCUCUGUGCCUGCAGAGGGAGAAUGCUGUGAAGAUGCUACUGGACGUGCUGGGACCUGAGGAACCUGCCCAGGCCCGCGCUCAGGACCAAUUCCUCUGGAGGGCCUGUUAUAGCUCAGACCAUCUACACAGCGGCAUCUAUGGAUCGAGGAGCUAUCAGAGACCUGUUCCCACAGGGCCUAUGCUGCACAGAGACCAACACCAUGAGACAGGAGCAGAUACCAAGUGUACACUCAGACCAUUUGGCUUGUCUGGCCCGUGAACAGAGCCACACUCUUGCCGCUGCGAACAAGCCAUCUUUAUCACACCUUAUGGCUUCUGGACUGAAUUGAGCAGCGCCCUCGGUCCACAGUGCUCUCUGCCAAACCACCUGCCUGCUGCUGCCCUCCAGUGUACUGGGCCCAGCCCCCAUCCACCUGGACCUGCUUGAGCAACUGCUGAGGACAGGCUGCCACCUGGUGGCCGGGAGGAUGAGUGUCCUGGACGAGACCCAGAGAUGUCACAUAGCUGAGACACUGAUGCUACCCUCUGAGAGGGAUGGGAAGAUUUGUGCUCUACACGAGGGUCCUUGUCUUAUCGUUGUUCUACAGAAAGAUAACGCUGUGACCUGCUUUGACMCCAUGCUUGAAAGGCAUUGCAGCUGCUGUGCUAUCUAUUUGAUGRCCUGUCUCCUGAUAGUCAUCAUGCCAUUGUACCACAGCAAUCUGAGUGAACCUUAAUGCUAUAGAGCAUUACCAAGAGGGCCAACCUAUUUUCUGGAAUUCUGUGCCAAUCUUUGAUUAUAAUCCAUUUGAUACAUUCCAAUACUGUAUAAAGAAAAUAUUUAUUUGGUUGUGGUAAGAAACCUUUUUAUGUAACCCCCUCCGAAAAAGUUAAAACAAUGGUAUUUUCAUGUGAAGAAAAUAAAUACUUAAAAUGCUGGUUCAUGUUUC